AUACAUCCAUAUUCAUCCAACAGCAACAAAAUGAUACAAAAGUGAAAGGCAUUUCAUAUAUAAACCUUACUGAAGCCGAAACCUAACCAAACCCAGAAUUGGCCAAGUAGCAUGACGGCGCAACACCAAUGAAGCUUCUCCGUUAUAGAGUAGAAGGCUUCAUCUAUGGCAGAAUCACAUCUACCCAAAUCUUUUUCUUUACUAACCAUUCAAAAUCUAGGGUUUUUGUAAACACUGAUGGGUGUUGUGCAAUUUGAUACAACAAAAAAUCGAUUUGUGGCAGCGGUGGAUGAUUUCUUAAUCAAAUUCUCCGAUGUGGACCAUCCACAAACAAAUUCUGGAUUUGCAGAUAAGUGGCCUCUUUUGUUGCUAAUCAGUGGAAUGGUUUGUAAAUUCAACUCCCAAAGGUGUAUGUCUAGCCUCACUCCAAAGGUAUCAAGGUUAAUAUGUACAAACUCUGGUGAUGCCAUCUUAGUAUUAGCAUCGAAUGCUAUUAACCUGCUUUGCUUUGUCCAAGAAUGCUUGCUAUGUGAUAUCAACAUCUGGUGGAAAGAUCUCUUUGUUCAACAUGAUGACAUUCAAGAGAGUGACCAGGUGUCCUUUGCUAUAAUAUCAUGCAGCCUACAGUAAAUCCAAUAUCUGUAGCAUCAGCAAACAAAUUCUGGAUUUGCAUAUAGGUGGCCUCUUUUGUUGCCAUCAGUGGAAUGUUGUGUAAAUUUAACUCCCAAAGGUGUAUGUGUAGCCUUACUCCAAAGUAAUUUGUAGGAAAGUCUAAUUGGGGUGAAAUAAGAAUAAAGAACAAAAAUACAUCCAUAUUCAUCCAACAGCAACAAAAAUGACACAAAAGAGAAAGGCAUUUCAUCUAUAAACCUUACUGAAGCCGAAACCUAACCAAACCCAGAAUCGGCCAAGUAGCAUGACGGCGCAACACCAACGAAGCUUCUCCGUUAUAGAGAAGAAGGCUUCAGCUAUGGCAGAAUCACAUCUACCCAAAUCUUUUUCUUCAGUUACCAUUCAAAAUCUAGGGAUUCUGUAAACACUGAUGGGUGUUGUGCAAUUUGAUACAACUAAAAAUCGAUUUGUGGCAGCGGUGGAUGAUUUCUCAAUCAAAUUCUCCGAUGUGGACCAUCCAGUAUCAAGGUUAAUAUGUACAAACUCUGGUGAUGCCAUCUUAGUAUUAGCAUCGAAUGCUAUUAACCUGCUUUGCUUUGUCCAAGAAUGCUUGCUAUGUGAUAUCAACAUCUGGUGGAAAGAUCUCUUUGUUCAACAUGAUGACAUUCAAGAGAGUUUCAUGCCUCCACCUCCAGCAGCAACUUAUAUUGCCUUCCAUCCUCAAGAUAACAACAUCAUCACUAUUGGUAUGGAUAAUUCUAUAAUGUUCGACUGGGUUAAAAGCAAGCUUAAAGGGCACUCUAAAAGGAUACCUGGCCUUGCCUUCUCUCAUGUGCUCAAUGUGCUAGUUUCCUCGGGAGCUGAUUCUCAGAGCUGUGUAUGGAGCACUGUUGGGCGGGAAUGCAGAGGGCCAGAUCCUUGCAGCUACGGUGUCGAUCGAUAUCUCAAUCAGAUACCAGAGUGCAGUUCAUCAGGAUCAAACUCAUUUCUUUGUUGUGCAUGACGCACAGCUUGCAAUUUAUGAAAAAACAAAGUUGAAAUGCUUAAAGCAGCAGUGGGUUCCGUGCUGAAGUACUGCCCCAAUUUCUAAUGUGAUAGCCAGCUGAUACAUGCCAGUUUCUUGGAUGCAACUGUGUGCAUAUUCACUCUCCAUAUGCGAUGCCGCAGUUCAAAUAUCCACCCAGUUGUUGCAGAACAUCUAGAAGAUCCAAGGCAAUAUGCACUAGCUAUGUCAGAUAGCAGUGUUAAUGUUUCCAUACCACUUGAAUCUGGAGGCAAAUAAGGUGUCCUUCCACCACUUGUAGGUUGUGCAGACGGCGUUCCAGCAAUCUGAAGGCAGAUGGGGCGUGUAAAUGGUUCUGCAGACGGCAUUCCAGCAAUCUCAAGGCAGAUGGGCCGUUCCUCCAACACUUGAAAAUGAUUUUGCAGAAGAUGUGCCAGCUGCUCCAUCCUGGAGCUUGGAGCUUCGAUCAAGCACCAAGAUAACAGAGAAUUAUUAAGCAAACAAACAGUCUAUAGUACUUUUGACAAGCCUGAACUCCUCUGUGAAGUCACUAAUGACAUUUGUUUUUCGAAUUCUUUGGCUUAUGUGAAUCAACAAUAUUUUUCAGUUUGUUUAUCAAGAUAAUUGAUAGAAAA